AGCCCGCCAUUACGCUCAAAUUCACCGACUAAGGGGGAAGGCCGAAGGGGUGAGCGAAGCGCUCAAACCGCGAAACGGCGAAGGGCAAGGCCGCCGGCAGGGCGACGAGCGGCAGGUUCUUCUUCUUUUUGAGUGAAUGGUUGAAUCGAGAUUUUUCACCGCGUGAUACUAACACAGUUCAGUUUUAAACUGUGUGGGCAAAAGAAAGGGAGGGAAGUUUUAAACUGAAUUCCGCCAUGGACGGGCAGGGAAUAGGGCUUGGGAAGAUCCUCUUCCUGGUCGGUGCAGGAUGCACAGGAUUGAUUAUUAUGAAGAAAGGAAAAUUAUCAGAAUUUUUGGGGGAUUUCCAGGCGGGCGUUUGGUUACCUUCGUCUGGUUUCGGUGGGCUUGGCAAUUGCUGUGGUGGAGGUUUUGGCAGUUUUCCUGGUUCUUGCUCGCUUUUGGGUCGGAUUCCUGCUCCGCCCUCUCUUGAAUCUGAUUCCCUCCGCUUCGACCAGCCAGUUCCCUUUUCCGUGCUACGUGCUUCUCUGUUAGAUCUUCAUCAUCGGCUGCAUGGUCAUCUCUCUGUUUGGGUCCGGCAACAGCGAGCCUCUUCACGACAUAUAACUGUUGUCGAUGGAGAUUCUGGUCAAAUAGUAUCCUCCUCACUGUAUCAUGAAAAUCAACAUAUGUUACUGUUGUAGGUAAUAUGACAUCAGGUAAUAUGACAUCUCUUCUGGUUCCAGCUGCUGCCUUAGUUUAUGGGUACAUGUGGUGGAAGGGAUUGUCCUUCUCGGAUCCCAUGGACAGUAUGGCAAAUGUUGUUACAAGUAUUGCAAAACAUUUGGAGCAAGUUUCUCCAGCUUUUGCGGCAUUUUGUAAAGUUAUUCGAAGCUGGGAUUCAAAGAAGUUCAUGAUAGGAUGUUGGACAAAUACAGAACAACCAAACAUUCAAGGAAGUUGCCAUCAUAAGACACUCACAAGUUGGUGAAUAUUCAUUUGGUUUCAUCACCUCAGCUGUUACUCUUCAGCACGAUUCUGGUGAAGAGGAGCUUUGUUGUGUC